rnacentral:misc_RNA from 1 species
GUUUUCCAAACCUCUUUUUUUUUUCUUCUCUUCCUGUGGUUUCCACAAGUUCCUGUGUUCAUGUCUAUAUUCAGUUCUAACUGUUGAUCAUAUGUACUGUUCGUAGAUUCAAUAAUUUUUCUUUUUGGUAUUUGAUCCAUUUAUAAUUGAUGACAGCCUAACAUUUUUUAAUGUUAUGCUGCAGCACACCCACUGAAAUUAAAGAAAG